rnacentral:lncRNA from 10 species
GGACACACAAAAAACCAUCAGUGAUGCACACUCACAGACGGAAGAACAUAUGAGGACACAGCAGUAAGGUGGCCAUCAGUAAGCCAAGGAGAAAGGCAUAGGGAGAAACCAACUCUGCUGAUACCUUGGUCUUGGACUUCCAGCGUUUAGAACGGCAACAAGAGUGCCAGAAGAUGUGGAAUUUGUAUAACCCCAAACUGUGUUUUCCUAACUAAUCUUGGCAAGCUUAAAACCCUGGAAAGUCACAAUUCACUUCCCAGGCGAUCAUCCUGGACAGCUCAACAGCAGAAAAGCAGAACAGGAUAUCCAGCUAUUGAACCGGGCUGCCGGCCCAGGUGGCCAGCCUUGAAGCUGUGGAGAGCGCCUACCAGGAGGGCCGCAUGGGCUGCAGGAAGACACGUUCCUUUCCUCUGUCUGUUGUGAGCUGGAAAGGAAAGUACAGUCUGCACUCCCGAAACACUGCCUGCCAACACAGCACUUUUCAGCAAAGGUGAAAAGAGAGUAUGUCUCUAACAAUAAAUGUCACAAGAGGAACAAAUCAUUUAUAAGAUUCAGGAGGCCCCAACUCAAGCAGAUAGUUGGCAGUGGAAAAACAGCUUCAAUUUUAUUACUGUAUUGAAUGAGACAUAGCUUCACAGAUGUGAGACCAUUUAAGACCAAUUGUUUUUGUACCUAAAGUUACUUAAGUAUAUAGGAUGAAAGAAAUAAUGAGUUAGGGGGCUAGGGUUAGAUUCUCUGGUCUUGUGCUAAGAGUUCCAUGACAGGAAUUUUUAUCGUUAUUAAUGACAAGGUCUUCCUCCUGAUGCCAUUCUUCUAUUUUUGUAUUUUCCUUUGUUUGUUUUUUUAAGAAUGAAUUAUUUUCAUUCAAGUUAUGAAAUCCUCCCUCAGAAGUCUGUUUAUAUUUACAAAAUAUCCUAAUUUAUAUUUAUGAAAUAAUUCUCAAAUAAAUAAAUAAUAAAGAGAAGCAGGAAGAAUGAUAGAAAAUGUGUAUUUCCAAAAUUGAUAAAGCAAUCUAUUUGCUUGUCAUUGUAAAUCAAUACAAAACAAAUAAAUUUUAAAAAAAUUACU